CUACGGGCGGCAGCAGUGAGGAAUAUUGCACAAUGGAGGAAACUCUGAUGCAGCAACGCCGCGUGGAGGAUGACGCAUUUCGGUGUGUAAACUCCUUUUAUAUGUCAAGAAAAUGACGGUAGCAUAUGAAUAAGCUCCGGCUAACUCCGUGCCAGCAGCCGCGGUAAUACGGAGGGAGCAAGCGUUACUCGGAAUCACUGGGCGUAAAGGACGCGUAGGCGGGAUAGAAAGUCAGGUGUGAAAUCCUAUGGCUCAACCAUAGAACUGCACUUGAAACUUCUAACCUAGAGUAUGGGAGGGGAAGAUGGAAUUAGUGGUGUAGGGGUAAAAUCCGUAGAUAUCACUAGGAAUACCAAAAGCGAAGGCGAUCUUCUGGAACAAUACUGACGCUAAGGCGUGAAAGCGUGGGGAGCAAACAGGAUUAGAUACCCGAGUAGUC
rnacentral:rRNA from 1 species